CUACGGGACGCAGCAGUGGGGAAUAUUGCACAAUGGGCGCAAGCCUGAUGCAGCCAUGCCGCGUGUAUGAAGAAGGCCUUCGGGUUGUAAAGUACUUUCAGCGGGGAGGAAGGGAGUAAAGUUAAUACCUUUGCUCAUUGACGUUACCCGCAGAAGAAGCACCGGCUAACUCCGUGCCAGCAGCCGCGGUAAUACGGAGGGUGCAAGCGUUAAUCGGAAUUACCGGGCGUAAAGCGCACGCAGGCGGUUUGUUAAGUCAGAUGUGAAAUCCCCGGGCUCAACCUGGGAACUGCAUCUGAUACUGGCAAGCUUGAGUCUCGUAGAGGGGGGUAGAAUUCCAGGUGUAGCGGUGAAAUGCGUAGAGAUCUGGAGGAAUACCGGUGGCGAAGGCGGCCCCCUGGACGAAGACUGACGCUCAGGUGCGAAAGCGUGGGGAGCAAACAGGAUUAGAUACCCUUGUAGUC
rnacentral:rRNA from 1 species